CUAACCUGCUAAAUAGUAUGGCUGUAUUUUUGUGCGGACCACCGUUCUUCGGGCUCAUGUCUGUUGAAUGGUACCGCAUAAGCAGUCAAGACUUCUUAGAGGGACAGGUGGAUAAUAAAAACCACACGAGAAAGAGCAAUAACAGGUCUGUAAUGCCCUAAGAUGUUCGGGGCCGCACGCGUGCUACAAUGACGGUGCUAGAGAGAAUGACAUUCUGGCUCGAAAGAGUUGGACAAACUUGUCAAUCACCGUCGUGACUGGGAUUGGGGUUUGUAAUUAUCCCCCAUGAACGAGGAAUUCCUAGUAAGUACAAGUCAUAAGCUUGUGCUGAUUACGUCCCUGCCCUUUGUACACACCGCCCGUCGCUGCUACCGACUGAGUGGUUUAGCGAGGUCGUUGGAUUGAUGCCCGUGUGGUGAAAGCUGCUGGGUGUCGAGAAGACGACCAAACUGCACCUCUUGAAGGAAGCACAAGUCGUAACAAGGUUUCCGUAGGUGAACCUGCGGAAGGAUCAUUA
rnacentral:rRNA from 1 species